AGGAAACUUACAACAAAGAGUCCCUCCCGACUGUUUACCAAAAACACAGCACUCUGCUAACUCGUAAGAGGAUGUAUAGGGUGUGACGCCUGCCCGGUGCUCGAAGGUUAAUUGAUGGGGUUAGCAUUAGCGAAGCUCUUGAUCGAAGCCCGAGUAAACGGCGGCCGUAACUAUAACGGUCCUAAGGUAGCGAAAUUCCUUGUCGGUUAAAUACCGACCUGCAUGAAUGGCGUAACGAGAUGGGAGCUGUCUCAAAGAGGGAUCCAGUGAAAUUGUAGUGGAGGUGAAAAUUCCUCCUACCCGCGGCAAGACGGAAAGACCCCGUGGACCUUUACUACAGCUUGACACUGCUACUUGGAUAAGAAUGUGCAGGAUAGGUGGGAGGCUUUGAGUAUAUGACGCCAGUUGUAUAUGAGCCAUUGUUGAGAUACCACUCUUUCUUAUUUGGGUAGCUAACCAGCUUGAGUUAUCCUCAAGUGGGACAAUGUCUGGUGGGUAGUUUGACUGGGGCGGUCGCCUCCCAAAUAAUAACGGAGGCUUACAAAGGUUGGCUCAGAACGGUUGGAAAUCGUUCGUAGAGUAUAAAGGUAUAAGCCAGCUUAACUGCAAGACAUACAAGUCAAGCAGAGACGAAAGUCGGUCUUAGUGAUCCGGUGGUUCUGUGUGGAAGGGCCAUCGCUCAAAGGAUAAAAGGUACCCCGGGGAUAACAGGCUGAUCUCCCCCAAGAGCUCACAUCGACGGGGAGGUUUGGCACCUCGAUGUCGGCUCAUCGCAUCCUGGGGCUGGAGCAGGUCCCAAGGGUAUGGCUGUUCGCCAUUUAAAGCGGUACGCGAGCUGGGUUCAGAACGUCGUGAGACAGUUCGGUCCCUAUCUGCCGUGGGCGUAAGAAGAUUGAAGAGAUUUGACCCUAGUACGAGAGGACCGGGUUGAACAAACCACUGGUGUAGCUGUUGUUCUGCCAAGAGCAUCGCAGCGUAGCUAAGUUUGGAAAGGAUAAACGCUGAAAGCAUCUAAGCGUGAAGCCAACUCUAAGAUGAAUCUUCUCUAAGCUCUCUAGAAGACUACUAGUUUGAUAGGCUGGGUGUGUAAUGGAUGAAAGUCCUUUAGCUGACCAGUACUAAUAGAGCGUUUGGCUUAUCUUU
rnacentral:rRNA from 1 species